UACGUAGGGUGCGAGCGUUGUCCGGAAUUACUGGGCGUAAAGGGCUCGUAGGUGGCCAACUAAGUCAGACGUGAAAUCCCUCGGCUUAACCGGGGAACUGCGUCUGAUACUGGAUGGCUUGAGUUCGGGAGAGGGAUGCGGAAUUCCAGGUGUAGCGGUGAAAUGCGUAGAUAUCUGGAGGAACACCGGUGGCGAAGGCGGCAUCCUGGACCGACACUGACGCUGAGGAGCGAAAGCCAGGGGAGCAAACGGG
rnacentral:rRNA from 1 species